rnacentral:lncRNA from 1 species
AAUGGGCCAGCAUGUGACAUACCGUCGUAGGCCUCUAGUGAGAAACUCUAACUAAACUAGGCUGUCCUGAACCCCUGGUAAUAGAAUCAUUUACCUUUAUGCCAAGAAGGUUGGGAAAGCACCAAAAUCUUCACGUGGUGUGUGUCCAGGCAGACAUUCAGGAGCUCGUGCUGUGAGAUCUAAAGUUGUUAUUUGAUAGUCCAAAACAAAAGGCAUGUCUAUAGGGCCUGCAGUGCUUCCCUGGUUCCAUGUGUGCUCAGUGUGUUCAUGACAGAAUCAAGUGUGCUUUCCUUAUUGAGGAGCAGAAAAUCAUUGUGAAAGUGUUGAAGGCAAAAGCAGAGUCAGAAAGCU